GACCUCAAAUCAGGUAGGACUACCCGCUGAACUUAAGCAUAUCAAUAAGCGGAGGAAAAGAAACUAACAAGGAUUCCCCUAGUAACUGCGAGUGAAGCGGGAAAAGCUCAAAUUUAAAAUCUGGCGGUCUUUUGGCUGUCCGAGUUGUAAUCUAGAGAAGUGUUAUCCGCGCUGGACCGUGUACAAGUCUCCUGGAAUGGAGCAUCAUAGAGGGUGAGAAUCCCGUCUUUGACAUGGACUACCAGGGCUUUGUGAUGCGCUCUCAAAGAGUCGAGUUGUUUGGGAAUGCAGCUCAAAAUGGGUGGUAAAUUCCAUCUAAAGCUAAAUAUUGGCGAGAGACCGAUAGCGAACAAGUACCGUGAGGGAAAGAUGAAAAGAACUUUGGAAAGAGAGUUAAACAGUACGUGAAAUUGCUGAAAGGGAAACGCUUGAAGUCAGUCGCGUCGUCCAGGGAUCAACCUUGCUUUUGCUUGGUGCACUUUCUGGUUCGAUGGGUCAGCAUCAAUUUUGACUGUUGGAAAAAGGUUGAGGGAAUGUGGCAUCUUUGGAUGUGUUUAUAGCCCUUGGUCACAUACAAUGGUUGGGAUUGAGGAACUCAGCACGCCGCAAGGCCGGGUUUAAACCACGUACGUGCUAGA
rnacentral:rRNA from 1 species